CCCUGGGAUAGCUCAGUCAGUAGAGCAUGAGACUCUUAAUCUCAGGGUUGUGGGUUUGAGCCCCACACUGGGCA
rnacentral:tRNA from 1 species